CUGUGCGUCCUUUCUUGACCCCAGAAGUAGAAGCCGUUCUCAACGUGCUCAAUCCUUAUGAUGAUGUGAAAAAUGUUGUGGUGAAUCCUCAAGAUAUAGUUCCAGAUUGUCUGAUGGCAGAAACUUCAACAAACAACACUGUCAGAAUGGAUGGUUUUCAGACAGGCCAAUCUUCAGCUUCAGAUACCUCUCAGAAUUGUGAACAAACCUCAUAUUAUGAAAAGCCAAAUUCUGAUUUAACUCCAAAUAUUGGUCCAUCAAGGAGAACAAGAAAGCAAAAGAUGGAUCAGUUAUGUGAUGAGGAUAUUCUUCUUGCUCAGAUGCAAAUGCAACAAGCCCAACUUUCAAUAGAAAACUUAAGAUUAGAGCGUAAAACUCUACAAGAGAGGUACCAACAACAGCGGGAGGCCCAUGAGUGGCAACGAGCUCAACAUGAGGCAAAUUUGAACUUGGCAAUGUUGCAAAUAAAAUUUUGGGAAAAGAAAACUGGUUAUGGAGAUAUGGAAACAUAAUGCAGAAAAUUAUAGCUAAUGAAAGAUAACUGACAUAAAUGGUGUAUGGAAAGUCAUCUUAAUCAUCUCGUAAUCUUUUAAAAAGAAUACUUGAUAGUGAUAGUGUGAACUGUAGGAAGUACCUGAAUCAAACAUUACUUUAGAUCCAUUAAGAAAAUGAGUGUUUGCGAAAAAGGAUAUGUUAAUGAAAACUUCCAUACAUUUAUAUCAUGGGAAGUGAAAUUUGAUAUCUAUUUUGAAGUGAGAAUGGCUUGAACGUGUUAUUGAUGUUGACAAUUGAGGCCCUGCCUACUGAAUAUGUCUUAAUGCCACAAAAAUUUAAAUGAGGAUUAAGGCAAAAACUUGUAGCAGGAAAUGUAAUACUAGUAUAUUUCAUAAGCUAGUUGAGGAACUGGAAAAUCAUCAUAUUGUUAUAGGAUAAAUAUGGGGUGAAUAUUCCUGAGUUAUUGUAGAAUGCAGAGAAAUUGCUGAGCCAAAUACAGCUUUUGCUCCUAGCCCAUCAGCCUAUCGUAUAGGUGAGUGCACGUUAUGUGACCAGAUCACACUCGGCCAAUCACCAUGCUGCACCUUUCUCCUAAACCCACACAUAAUUCAGUACGUGCUCUCCCUUUAUUGGUAAUGCUUGUGGUAAUUUUUAUACAUAAUUUUAUUGUGUUUACAGCAGGCAUGGGGAUGAAGCCAAGCCUCCGGAUUUGAAGCCAAAGUAUUGGAAUGUCAAAAAGCCAAAGCCAAACAUUAAAAAAGUCAUGAAGCCAAAGCAUUAAAAAAAGUCAUGAAGCUAAGGUCAGGGCCUAUAAAGGCUGUAUUAUCUUAUGUUGAUGGGAAUAUGUAUGGUAUUCUAAGUUACAGCAAGGCUUUUGAGAUAAGCUAACUUUAUUUUAAGCUCAUUGUUCUUAGGGUAAGUUUUGACUGUAGGCUGAAAGAGGUAUUAACAGUUUAUAUUACUAAAUUUAUUUUAUCCAUAAUGCAUAAACAUACUAAUUUACAGUCACAAAUCACAGAGAAGCAUUGGAAUGAAUCAUCAUACGAGUUUCUAAGGUAUGUUUGAUCUCUUCUGAUGUUUAGGUCAGGUCCUUGUGAAAAUAGGCCAGUAGGGAUAACUUGUGAUGUCAGUAUGGAUUUUACCUGAACUCACCUAAAGUUUACCCUUCCCAGAAUUACCUGGGGUGGAGAAUCUAACCUGAUUGACCUGUGACAAUAUGUUCUUGUGUUGGCUCUGGUCACUGACAUGCUGGUCAGUAAUUUUGGUGCCAACACGACAACCCAUGUCACUUGUCAAGUCAGGUUAGGCCAAAAUUGUGCUGCCUUGGCUCUGCCUGUGGCUUCGAAGCUGGAGCUAUGCCUCUGGCUUUGAAUCUGAAGCUGUGCCUCUGGCUUUGAAGCUGAAGUUGGUGCUAUGCCUCUGGCUUUGAGGUUGAAGUUGGUGUUAUGCCUCUGUCUUCAAAACCAAAUUAAAAAAGCAUGGCUUUCAGAAGCUUCAGCCAGCUUCAGCCCCAUGCCUGGUUUACAGGGUUAUAUUGUGAUGCAACAACUAUGGAUCCAAGUGUUACCUCAGGUAUCUCAGGUUUUACAUGGUGAAGGUAUAUGACAAGAUAGCUACAAUUCUUUAGGAUGCUAAUGCAGGUGGGGUUGUGGAGCAGCAUAUCUUAAACCUGCUUAUUUUUUUCUCUUCCUGGCAGUUGAACAACUCUGGAAGGCUGGGCCUCAAUUGUAUGUUCAUUUGUAGAAAAUAAUGUUCUGUACUGUACUGUAUAUGUCAGAUGGAUGGCAGCGCCAGGUAAGCUAAAGACUAGAAAAGUAUUGUGCUCUAUUGUAUAUUUUUGUUUGAUAAAUUAUGCACAAUUUUGUGGAUGAAAUCCACUUUAUGUAUAUUUUCAUCGAGUUCACAGAUUGGUAGUGUGUGUAUAUAUAUAUAUAUAUAUAUAUAUAUAUAUAUAUAUAUAUAUAUAUAUAUAUAUAUAUAUAUAUAUAUAUAUACACACAGUAUGUACUGUAUAACUGUAUACAGUAUUUAAAUAAUGCUCGGGUUGUACACAUAUUAAACCUCCCCAUGGUGUUUGAGGAGUAAAUGCGUAAAUGCUUGCUCAUAUUUCAGCAAUAAAUUAUUUGAUCAUAGGCUCUGUUCAUUGGAACUAUGGAUCUAUGAGUACUUCUCUCGUACUCGUUUAUUGAUUUGUGUAAAAAAUACACUAAUUUAAAAAAAUAUCUUUGGCAUUUAGCAUGGUGGAAGCAUACAUUUUUGUGCAUAUAAGGUUAUAAUAAUUGCAGUACGUAUACUCUUCGGAAAUUCACACACUUCAGAGUUAUUUUAUGCCACAAAUCCAUGUUAUGCAUGGUAAAGCCUUAUCUGGAGUACAGAGAGGUUGACUUUAAUCCAAAUGCAUUUUGAGCCUUGUGCCUAUUGGAAUACUAAAUGGGUCAAAGAGCUCAGUACCAGACUUUUUUUCCAGUCAGCAUGGAAUCUUCACUUCAAUGUGAAUGUGAUUUACUCUGUUAGUUAUUUAAGAUGAUUCUUGAUUUUGCUAAAUAAUGAAAGUUCCAUUGUAAGUUUCGUCUUGUUAAAGAGUUUCACCUGUGUGGCUAAACUCAUUGUAAAGUAAUUACUGAACACUGUACAGUGUCGGGCCCCUUUAUACGGGGAUGUAAUUUUUCCAUUUUUUGCAGGAAAAAUUUUGAGGAUAGCGAUUUAUCACCCGAAUAGUCCAUGUCCAUUUAGAAAAUAUUUAGGGGGUAGACAAAGACCCAGAAUGCUUGAUGACUUGAUUGCAGACACAAACAUGGUGUGAUUUUAGUGGUGAUGCCAAAGUGUGAUCAUUUACAAUACUGAAAAGUAGGAAUAUCGUUGGUGUCAUAUCUUGAGGCUUCAUUUAUUUUCAUAUUUCAUAUAUAUUCAGCAGCAGAAGUUGAUCCCAAAACAACAUGCAUGAUAUGAGGGAAGAGUUGACAGAUUUGUUUUGAAUGUCUAAUUAUUUAAUAUUUAUGAUUGGAAAUUGCCUAAGAAUACAUUUCUUGCAAUUAUCUUAAUUGGUAUCAAUAUGUAAAAUGUGGUAAAAUAAUGUUAUUGAGUAAUAUAUAUGACAUCACUUUAUAAUGAAUGUGUUAUUAAGCAUGAGAAAUAUUCGUUGGAAUCAGCAGUAAAGUAAUCAUAUACGUCUGGAUGCCCAGUUAUUGAAUCAUCUUGCAGCAGUGUUAUAAUUUGUUUUCAAUAACAUUAUUUUACCACAUUUUAUACAUUAAUACUAAUAAGGUUACAGGCAUACCCUAUAAUCAACGCAUAUAGGAACCAUGAAAAGUCGUUGGUUGGCAAACCAACGGUUAGCAAACAAAUUAAUCCCAUAAGAGUAUAAAAAGUUCAGGGGGUUAGGGGACUGGUCACCCCCCAAAAACACCCAUGUACCCUUGUUAUAUCUAUUUCAUUCACACUAUCAAGCAAGAAAAUAAAGCAGUCAUAUAAAGCAAGCAUAAUAAGCAUUAAAUAAGGAAUAUAAAGCAUAAAUUGAGACUUAUUUACCUGUGUUGUAGAUGGUAGAGACAGUCUAGGGUGGCAAGUUUAAGUCUCUACCAAUCUUUGCUGGCCCAUCACCACUCUUAUUAUGCCUUGUCACAUCACAUCAAGGAGGGGCAGCACAUGACAAACUAUCACUGGGGCAUUUAGGCAUGAUAGCAUAACAUGCAAUGUUGGAAUUAAUGAAAAAGCACAAAGUCAGAAACACAUGGUAAGUGUAAGCAAGUGCAGAGGCGGGAAUGAGUUGGAGGCAGUACACAGUGCCCUCUCGCACCACUGCCCGCCAAAUUCAAAACAGCUCUGCCGUUCCUCCCCGAUCAACGGAUUUUUUUUAGUAUAUGUACUGCCGAAGCAAGUUCUCCAGGGUAUCAACGAAACUUAUGGGGUAUUUCUUCUAUAUACUGCAUAAUUGUCAGUUAUGCGAAUCAGCGGUCAGUGGGACGUUGAUUUUUGGGGUAUACCUGUAGAUGCAAGAAAAGUAUUCUUCAGCAAUCUCCAAUCACAAAUCUUAAAUAACUUUGUAUUUAAAGCAUAUCUGUCAUCUAUUCCCCAAAGUGUUACCAGAUUACCUGCCUCAUAUCAUGCAAGUUAGCUCAGGAUGAACUUCUGUAUAUAGAUACAGUAUUUAAUUUUUUAACUCACAUAAAUUGAGAUGACAUACAGUACAUGGCAAAACACUACCUCUAAAAAAUAUUUUCAAAUAUAUGGUAAAUUGUGAAAAUGUUAAAGCUUCUGGGGCACUAUUCUUUCUACCCCCCCCCCCCACACACACACACACACACACCUACACCUCUCUCUACCUCUGGACUCCCACUAAGGCUCUGCUCCUCAAACCUAUUGGUGGCCAACAGUGGCUUUCCAGAUUCUCAACUUGUUUUCUUUUUUUUUCAUUCAUGGUGAGUCACAUCCCUGUAUACUUGAAUAGCUUUUCUUAAAAUGCAAUGCAAUGGCUAUACCAAAACCUGUACCAAUCUUUUGUCUGAGGAAAUUGAUCUAUUGACAGCUCCUCCCACUUCUCUAUAAAGAAUCAAAGAAAUUUCUUGCACAUGUAUUCACAUACCGGUAAACCUAACUUACAAGCAUCUGAUUAUAUGUCUUUGUGUUGUAGAUCUUCAUAGUAUGAUUUGAAUAAUUAUUUUAUAGUUGGAGAGAUGUAUUCUGUAUAACUUUUCAAGUUUAUUUCACUGCAUCUUCUAAAUAUUUUAAUGAGUGAUAAAGUUCAUUUGACUGUGUUCUCUUCCACAUUUUUGUUUUGUAUGCUGUAGCUAGUACAGCUGGACAUUAGCAGCAAAAACAAUAAAACGAUUGCCCUACCCGUUUUUUAGCUGAGAAAUGUCUGUGAAUUACUUUUAUAGUGUACCUAAAAACACAUUUAAUUGCAUUGAAAAUUGAAGAAAAAACGUUGGCUGUGAAAUUACCUGGGGCAGUGUGACCCCUGAGCAGUCAGUCAGUUGCUCUUCUAAGGUGUCAGGAUUGCUUGGGACACAGAAAAGUGGGUGGAGCAGAGUUGAAAGAUUAAUUCUCUUACACACACACUCUACCUCAGACACUAUACCUCACACAUACUCUCUACCUCAGACACCAUACCUCACACAUAUACUCUACCUCAGACACUAUGCCUCACACACACUCACUACCUCAGACACUAUACCUCACACACACUCACUACCUCAGACACUAUACCACACACACACACACACACACACACACACACACACACACACACACACACACACACACACACACUCUACCUCAGACACUAUACCUCACACAUACCGUACACAUACUCUACCUCAGACACUAUACCUCACAAUACACACACACACACACACACACACACACACACACACACACACGUACUACAUUCCCCAUCAAGUGUACACAUUCUUUCUUUUACUCAACUUUGAUACUUUGGUGUAAUUUCAUGCAAAUGCUAUCUGUUAUCACAACAGAUCCCUGGAUAAUUGUCAAAAAAAAAAGCCAAAGCGGUUUUACUAAUUAAAAUGAAUUAAAUGCAGCCGUUUUUGUCUGCUUUAAGUGUGGCUAUGGCUGAGCUCAGGGAGUUAGGUGCUCACUUGGGCCUAUUGAGAGGUAAUGGUGUAGUAACUGGAUACAGUAUACGUACUGUAUUGAAAUGAUCCACCUCACCUCUUCCUUGAUUGACACACAAUUUUGAGUUGAUGCUGUUCAUACAGAUAUCAAAAGGUUAUUCUGAUUUGUUGAGUAAUGAACCACGUCAGUAACUUGCAAUGGGGACAUAAUUUAUACAGCGAUACUCAAACCAUUCCCAUAUACUCCGGUGAGUGAGCUGCUAAUUUUUUCAAUCUUGAUUGUUCCUUGUCUUAUAAAAUAAUUCCUAUUCUACAGAUCUUUGCAGCUCCUCUAUAGAUGUAUGUACAAAUCAGUGCAAUCCCUGCUAUGUACAAAGUAAAUGCAGAGCCUCAGGAUAAACUUCCAUAUUUGAAUGCAUUUGUCACUUUCACAAUACCAGUACUGUAUAAACAAAUGUAGUAGCAAAAUUAUUAAAUAUUGCAGUCAGCAUAGGCAUUUAGAAAUACAUGUACAAUGUAAACCGCUGCUAACAAGUAGUGUUUGAACGAUCAUUUUUUUCCUGUUAAACAAACCAUGCACAAUCCUUUAAAAAUUGAGAGUUUAAGUUUGCAAGAUUACUGUUAAAAUAUUUCCUUAACAGAUACACAAUUGCCUUCUCAUAUCCUUAGUCUAAAUUCUGAUAAAAGGUAACAUGUUGCGAGAGGUCCAUUAUCAGUUAAAUACUGUACUGACAGAUAAAUGGUAACAAUUCAGUACGGUGUAUUGUUAGGUACUGGAAAAUCCUUUAGCUCGGGGAUCUUAGGUAAAUUUUUUACCUGGUGUACAAGAAUGGUAUAAAAGUGCAUUUUGAGGUACAUUUAACAUUUUAUUAUAUUGGUAACUUCCUUAGAAGGUACAUGUAGUCUUGUCUUUUAAUAUAUAAAAACUUGGUGAACUACAUGAUACUUUGGCAGGAGAUCAUGAAAGGGUAUUAUCAUUUAUCAUUGUUAAUGAAUGAUAAGUAAGUACUAAAUAUUGAAUCUACUGUAUGUACUUUAAUAUAGAUUCUGGUGAAGAUUUCUUAUGUUGUGAAUUGGUAAAAGAAAGCUGAACGUUUCAGUUAUUUUGAAUGGAGACUCGCUAUAUAACUGACCCCUCACUUUUGCAUGAGGCUAGAACACGGAAUGCUGAUUUAACCCAAUGACUACGGCAUUUGGGAAAUCAAGGGUACCCCAUAUACUGUACUGCAAAACCAUUACAUAUGAUUUUUGUUUUGUUUUUUUAAUUGAAGAUAUAAAAUUUUGAAGGCACAAGUACCAUAUAAAAGCUUUGUACUUAUGAUAAUUAGCGAGUUAUGUGUAUGAAGUGAGGCGGAGUGUAACUGGCAACUGCUGAGCGCAGGUGGUUGUGGUGGUGCAGCAGUGGGUUUUUGUGAUGCAAAGUGGUUGUUAAGCCCUUUUGUAGGUGGGGAGCUAGUCUGGUAUUGUAGGUUGGGUAAGGGGCUAUUACAGACAGGAGGAGGGUGAUGAAGCAUAAAUAAUUCUAAGUCAUUCCGAGGUGAUGAUGAUAAGUUGAUUUGAGGCUCCACCAACCUUGUGUUUCACUCUAAAGUGUAUACCAAUUAUAUAUUUUCCAUUCUUAGCAUGAUUUUUGGCACAUAGCUUUAAAUUCACAACGCCAAAUGCCAGUUGUCUAAGACAACGAUGACGCAAUUUCGGUAAAUCAUAUAAAGACGAUGAUAGCAAUUCAAGGUUAAAGAACUGUAUAGAUUUCUUUAGUACUAAUACUAAAGUGACAUGGGCAGUCAUUCAUAGUGAAUGUAAUAGUUUGGUUGUGUAUUAAAUAUUGAUUCUUUUUAAUAUAAUAAAGAAAACGAUAGUAUUAUUUUUAUUUUAUCUCCAUAUUUUUAUAUUUUUGCAUAUGAAAGAAUGCAAAAGAUCAAAGGCAAUCACAGAGCUCUGAUUGUAGCCCUCAAAUAUAAAGCAGGAAGGCAAGUGCCACAAUCCACUGUACUUAUGUUUGCUUUUUUAAUUACUGUAUCUGUAUUUUCAUGCAUAAACGUGUGUAUCAAAGAAUGGACCGUUUUUAAAUAUGAAAAGGAUGAUAGUUUUCCACAAGUGGAGUACAGUACCUUGUAUUUUAUAAAAUGAAUUCUCAACAGCUGAAACUCAAGUACAGUAUGUAUUUGUAAAGUGUGAAACUUGUAAUUUAUUAUUUAAAGUGAAGUGAAUGUAAUCUAAAUUAACUUUUAUUCUACUACCUGUAAACUGAUUCUACAAUAAGUUUCAUGUAUGUCUUAAACCUUCUAUGAAUAUUUUAAUAUACUCUAGUUAUAUGUGUACAGUGUAUGUGUGAGAGAGUGAGAUACAGUAUACUGUUAAUGUGUUUAUCUAAAGAAACUUAUUGUAAGUAAAAAUAAACCAGAAUGAAUCUACAGUAUUUUAAAUACAGUACAGUAUAUAGAAAAAGAAUUAAAGGUGAUUACUGAAUGACAACUGCAGACAUUUAAGUCUAAUGGCUUAGGGUAUCUUUUUGAGAAGGUGUAAAAUGUAUUGUACUUUGUAGUCUGUUAUGUGAUGCUAAAUGUUAAUUAGAAUUUCUCCUUUGUUGAACAAAGGAUCCUGCUCUCCAUGAAUUAUGAAUUCAUGGCUUUAAUUUUUUCCACAAUAUUUUUGUUAAAUAUUAACCAUUCAUAUUCAUGUUCUGUUUCCAUUGCCUGUGAUAAAACAUUUAUUUGUAAUGAAGAUGAAUAAAAUGUAUGGAUGGGCA